CUUUCCCGCGCGUGCCGGGCAAAACCCUUCCCUUCGGCGUGAGGCGCCGAGGAAAGCUGGCUGAGUGGCGGUGCAAAGAGCGAGCAUGAUUACGAUGACCACCUUGCCUGGCUUGCACUUUUUCAAAGAAAUGGAGGCUGGUAUGGAUUUUGAGUCAAGGGCCAAAGGAGUCAGACUGAAGAGUAAUGAAUUAGUGACUGACGUCAUGACAACCGUAAGACAGAGAAGGGUUGAAAAAGGCGAUGAGGCGGCUGAAGAUCAGUCUUCAGAGGAGAAGAAUGUGAAGCCUGAUGGGAAAAUUCUAUCUGAUCGUACAGGUGGAAAGCUGUGGAACAUACUCUCAGUAACUGUUGGUGGAAUUGUUGCCAUCUCUCUUGGACUUCUUACUUCUGUUUAUGUUGCUACACUGCAUGAAAAUGACCUGUGGUUUUCCAAUAUUAAGGAAGUCGAAAGAGAGAUUUCAUUCAGAACAGAAUGUGGACUUUAUUAUUCCUACUACAAACAGAUGAUUCAGGCUGCUUCCAUCCAGCAAGGUUUACAUGGUUUAGUAUAUGACAAUAAAACUGAAUCUGUGAGGACAAUUAACAUACUUGAAAGAAUGAAUGUUUACCAGGAGGUGUUUCUCAGCAUUCUGUAUAGGAUUCUUCCAAUUCAGCAAUACCUAGAGCCCGUUUAUUUUUAUAUCUACACUUUGUUUGGACUUCAGGCAGUUUAUGUCAUUGCUCUGUAUGUAACAAGCUGGCUUCUUAGUGGAACAUGGCUUUCAGGGUUGUUGGCAGCUUGCUGGUAUAUUACAAACAGAAUAGAUACUACAAGAGUAGAAUUCACCAUUCCUUUGAGAGAGAACUGGGCACUACCAUUCUUUGCUGUUCAGAUAGCAGCCAUCACAUACCUACUCAGACCUCAUUUACAGCCUGUUCAAGAAAGAUUGACACUUAUGACUGUAUUCAUAGCAACAUUUCUCUUUAGCCUGACUUGGCAAUUUAAUCAGUUUAUGAUGCUGAUACAAGCAUUGGCAUUAUUCAUACUGGACUACUUUGACAUGCUUCCCACAGCAAAGGUUAUGUGGCUGUAUAUAAUUCAGAUUUCUGGAUUACUGCUAGUCUGUGUCCUACAGUUCUUUAAUUCUAUGAUUCUUGGAUCAUUACUUAUAAGUUUUAAUGCUUCUGUCUUGAUAGCAAGAACAAUGCAGAAAAACCUAAAAAAGGGCGGUUUGCUUAAUAGGCUUGGGAAACUUAUCCUCCAUGUACUAUUAGUCUUGUGCUUGACUCUGCUAAUGAAUAAAUUUAUCAAGAAAAUUCUUAAUCUUGAGUCAGAUGAACAUAUAUUCAAAUUCCUGAAAGCAAAAUUUGGAUUUGGGGCAACAAGAGAUUUUGAUGCUAACCUAUAUCUUUGCGAAGAAGCUUUCGGUUUACUACCAUUAAAUACUUUUUCAAGACUCUCGGAUACAUUACUUUUUUACGUCUACAUAUUUGUUCUCUUCCUUAUGACAGUAGCAGCUGUAAUUGUUGCCUUCCGGAACCUCAGUGGUUCAAAUCAAGUACAGUGCGUGGAAAAAAUGGAAGAAUGCACAAUAACACUGAAGCCUGAUGCUGCUUACAACUUAAUGCACACAGUUCUUUUUGGAUGUCUGGCAUUAAGCACAAUGAGAAUGAAAUACCUCUGGACAUCCCACAUGUGUGUAUUUGCAUCUUUUGGCCUGUGCAGUACAGAAGUAUGGAAACUUAUCCUGAAGUGUAUUCAUCUCUACACAUCACAGAGGACACGCAUGAUAAAGUAUUUUAUACCAAUAAUUGCAUUACUAUACAUUUCACAUAAGUUCUGGCCGGGAAUAAUGGAUGAGCUGUCAGAGCUGAGAGAAUUCUAUGACCCAGACACUGUGGAGCUGAUGAACUGGAUUAAGUCAAACACUCCAAACACAGCAGUGUUUGCUGGGAGCAUGCAGCUAUUAGCUGGAGUCAAACUGUGCACUGGACGGACCUUAACUAAUCAUCCCCAUUAUGAGGAUAAGAAUCUGAGAGAGAGAACAAAACAGAUUUAUCAGAUCUAUGCCAAGAGAUCUCCUGAAGAUGUUUACAGAAUACUGCGAUCCUUUGGCACAGACUAUGUGAUCCUAGAAGACAGCAUUUGUUACGAAAGAAGGCACAGUAGAGGCUGUCGGUUACGUGACUUACUUGAUGUAGCUAAUGGCCACAUCAUGGAUGGUUUGGGAGAGAAUGAACCUGAUUUGAAACCUUCGUUGUAUCCUCGCUUCUGUGAGGAAAUCAAGAAGAACCUGCCUUCUUACACCAUACACUUCACUAGAGUGUUUCAGAACAAAACAUUCCACGUUUACAAACUUGCUAAGCAUAAAUAACUUUUCCAACCACGGCUUCCAGUUCAGUAUUUUGAUGCUAGGACCCACAUUAGAAAAUGCAGAAGUUUACAAACAUGUUCCAUUUGUAAGACAUUUUACAUUGAUGGUUUCUUGUUUAAUUCCUGUGACUCUUAUUUUUUUAGACAGUUUAGUUUUGAUAACAUUCUUGACAUUGCCAAAAUUUUCAUAGAUUCAUAAAAAAAUGCUAGCAGGGACCAUUUUGAUUAUAAAGUCUGACCUUCUGAAUAUCUAGGAUAUGAUUGCUUUCCAGUUGAAAGACACACAAAAUGAGCAGCCUGCAUGACCACUGCGGAAUAGCAAGGCUAUGAACUUCUGCUCAGCAGUUUGGGUUUUUACUAUGAAAUGACAGAAAUUCAACGAAAGCAGGCCACGCUCCUCCUGUACCGAGUAUGCAUUAUCUUUGUGAAUCCUUACAAUAGUCACAAAAAUAAGGUUUUGUCUUACGAUCUUAUCCUCUGUGCUCUUUCAGUGCCUCUUUUUUGAAUUCUUUGGGAAUGUAUGCGAAUAUGAGUUUCCAAGCUUGUGAAUGUGAUUGCAGAAUCAGUGAGUGCAGAAUCAGCAAACAAGUUUGAAGAGUAAAACUUUAAUCAUUGUCCAGCAUUUUUAGUGAUACAGAAACAUACUGUUUUAUAACAUUAAGCAUUUGAUGAUGGAGUGAUACAUAUUUCUAAUGAGAAUAAAGGUUGGAGCAUGCUUGAUACAUGUUGCAUGUUUGUAUCCUCGUAAAAUUCUCGGAACAAACAAAAAACCAAAUUUCUCAGCCUGGAUUCUCACAACCUUAUUUUCUGUAUUUGCUUUCUGAACUACAGGGGAUCCUUUUUCUCCCCAUGUGAAUUCCAGGAGUAGGAUACCAAAAGUGAACACUGCCAACCUUACAAACGAAAAAUUAAUCUCUAAAAUAUUUGCUUUACAUGAUUUCAGACACAAAGCUAUAUAUUUUAGCAUAAAAUCAUUGUGUCCUUGCUCAUUAUCCUAACAAAUAGAUUACAGUUAUUUUAAACUUACUUGGAAGAUUAAGUGAAGACAGGCCUCUGUCCUGAGAAUUUUGUGGUUUGUUUGUACCCUUUGUCUUUUUACUGGCUAGAACUUUGUGAAUUGUAUUGACUUUCUAAAUGCUACGUAGAUAACACGUGACUUUUGCUGUGUUUUAGCGCUGCUCUGGUUUUAUAUUGAAAUUUGAGAUUAAGUCUGAUUGAAAGUCAAACAGUACUCUCCAACUUUAAUUAGACAUCCACUAGGAUCAUUUGUUUCUUAUGAAAAACAGAAUUGUAAUAAUCAAGUGCCUCUAGGCCAAUGUUGAAUUAACAUUUGGACACCUAUAAGAGUGUUUGUGGCCUGUGCAAGUAACUCGGUUAUAAUAAUUACCACUGCAAUUAAUUUCUAAUGAUGGGAAACUUAAAGUGCUACUGAUAGCAAACUCCACAUUUAAUUUAAUCAAGAUGUGUAAUGAGAUUAGCUUUCACAGCUGAGCUGUGUUCCAAUUCCAAAUGAUUUAAAUGUUUUCCCUUUUCAGUUGUACUAAGGUAAAUUACUGAAGAGCUGGAGAUGUCACAUGCUCAAACAAUUUUAUAUUCAGUAAAUACUCAUUAAACAAUGUUCAACAUCUUUCUGCACUUUCAUGCUAACACAAAAGGGAAGUGUGCUUUAAUCAGACUGCAUUUAAAUCAAACAUUGACAGUAGCUAGGUUGUUAAACUGAGCAACUGAAACUCCUGAGUAAUUCCUAGCCUGUAUCCCUUAAUGAGGUUGGAGACCACUGCAGUUUAACAUAAUACAAUAAUAAAACAUUUUAAUCAGUAUUAAAACUUUAAUUAGGCCCGUAAUGAUGCAUGCCUGUUCUUGCUGAAAGCAUGGGUCAGUGAGUUCCUCAAUGAGUGCCUUACAGUAAUUGAAAACAAGCACACGUAAGGUAAAAUGUGUCUAGGCUGUGGUGUCUUACUUUAAAAUGUGGUUGUAUCUUUCUUCAAAGGUGCAGUAACUUUCCUGGGAUUGAAAUGAGAGAUUCCAAGAUCCAGUGGUGCCCCGCCAUUGUCAGGAUUUACUCGUAGGUAACAGCUGAGACUAAGAAGUCCUGACCGUAGCAGUAGUUAUUUUUAAAUGGACUUUUUUCAGAAACACAGUCUUUCAUGUUGCCAAAGGAGAAAUUCAACCUUUUCAUAGAAACUACUGAGUGCAAAUUGUUGUUUUGUUUUGUUUUUUAAACAAAACAGACCCCAAGCUACCAUAGGUCUUUGGGAAGCAUAAAGACCAAGGGCUGCCACGAUCCAGAACCACCACAGUAACAUAACAUGGUUUCUUCUUGCAACACAAACAUCCCCCAAGGUAGCACACCAGAAAUUUAAAAUUAGAGAUACAAAGUACUUUGGAGAUUGCCUAACUCUUGCAGUUCACAGUCUUUACAAGCCUAGGUAGCUCGCGACACACUUAAACAAUUCCACCAGUUCCUGUAUCAGAAAGAUGCAAUACUGAACGCAAGGGCGUAUUUCGGUGGCUGGGCAGUACUGCAUUCAGAAGACCUCCUUAAAGGACUAGAGUAGAAAACGCCAAGGAACAAAACCACUUACCAGCUCAGAGGAAAGCAAUACACACACCAACACAGCACUCGGAGAGAGGGAGCAGCUGCUUCUCUGCCCCCGAUUUAAAGGCUUCCCAGCGGAGCAAGGCAUGCUGGGGAAGGCUGGAGCAGCAGGCAGCAGUCAGGGCUGGCCCAGCCAUGGGGCUGUGGGACUGGUGGCAAAAAGGGCUUCGGUUCCUGUUCCUGGAGGUUGGGCGUGAGAGUCUGAGGCUGCUCGGAGCAGCUUGCUGGCCUUCCUUGCUCUGUUGCAAGUUAAAGGUGCAUCAGCCAUGAAUGUUACCGGCCAGCCCCCAAUCCACUUCAACUCCAGCAAGAAGCUGACACACCUGACUCGUGAACAUUGCAAGGAAAGACCUUCAGACCUUCAGUCUUCCGGCAUCCUAAGACACCAGGGAGGGAGUCUGACAACAUCCAAGGGAUGCUGGGUUUUCUCUUCACUGAAAAUGCACCUGGUAUCCCCAGCCAGCUCUUCCCAAGGCAUUACUUGGCCACAGCUGUAGUUGGUCUGAGCUUCUACUAAAAGAAUCAGUCAUCUCCAGCCUCUCAAACACAAUUGUUGCACCACUGCUAGGAAAGCAGGUUUAGCAAAACAUGAGGGACAGGAUUGAGGAUGCCAAUUACAUGGUUCCUGCUGGUCCUUAGUUUAGGCUCAGUUCAGUAGCCCAUUAGGAAUGAAAGAUUACGCUGAACUGUGGUGUUUGCUACCUUUGAGGCUAGUAUCUUUGAAAACCUGGCCUUUUAAUUAAGUACUUAGUUGCAAGCAGCUGAUUUGAUGUGUUGUGCCUAAAUUUGCUUCCUGCAUUUAUAGGACAGCAUGAAGAGAUUCCAUUAAGUUAUAACCAAAGUUAAAGAUCACCAUCCGUGCUGCUUCGUUCCUUUACCUGGAUCCAUGGACUCCUCUGCACUGCGCUCAGGAAGCAGGUGCUGCGACUGAGCCUCAGUCAGGGAAACAAGAUGGAUAUAACACAACAUGGACUUUAUUUCCACAAGAAAAAGACAUCAUGCUUUUUUUCUUCAAAUGACUGCUAAAGCUCCUACUGAAAACAGCUCACACACCAUGCUUUCUUCAUGCUUUGUGCACCACCUUAGCUUAGGUGCAUAGGAUCUCUCAAGGAGUCCUUUAUUACCUUAGUGACUAAAAAUCUAUUUACUUCUUAAACACGGUAUAUAUGAGGAUGGCUGAGUACCCCAAGUUCUCCCUUUAUUC